rnacentral:lncRNA from 1 species
UGGGAAGCUGACCCAAGUAUAUGCAUCUUUUAAAAACUCAGAUUAUUCUUCUGCCCAAAAAUUUUUGAAACCACUGACUUAUGCUGUCAGAAUUGAUCAACUCCCUGGGCUGGGAAGCUCCGAUUUUCUCUUCCAGAUUUCCUGUGUACCCCUCCCCUCCCUGUCCUCUGCCACAUCAGGUAGGAUGCAUGAAUUUCUUCAGCAAGCUCCUUGUCCUUUGGCUUCCAGGUUCCUGGUGGGAAGAGUCACAUCUAAUCUCAAGAAGCUUUUCUUUUGUAGGAUGCUACAUCAUUCUCAGAUGGGUAUGUUUUCCUCAUUUGACUAGCUACUAAUUGUGUCCAUUCUUCUAACCAAUUGCUGAAC